UUCCUUUGAGCAAGAACCAAUGAGCUUCAUUGUCUCUUCUCUCUCCGCGCCCUUACUGUCCUACUUUCACACGCACAACUCCACUGAAUUCCCCAUUAAGCUGCUCCAUCUCCACAGACUCUCUCUCUCGCUAACUCACGCUCACACUUCACCAAACAACUCUGCUCCCUCUUCUUUGGUUUUUCUUUCGAAAUUCAGCCAGCAGCCCACACCAGCUGCUUCCUCCUACGAAGCCGCGGCCCCACCAAGUCAACCAUCAACAUUUUGUCUCCCCAAAAGUGGACUUCUCUGCCGCUGAAGCCCACGAUUCCUCUCUAUCGAAGCAACUGCAGCUCGUCUCUCUCUCUCGGUCGUCCGUGCCUCUCCUCCAGCAGCACGCAUCCACGAAGUCACCGAGUCAACCUUGCGUUCCCCAGCUGGUCGAUUGACCGCACGCGUCCAACAGCUGCCAGCGACACCGGCUGCUUCCGUUUUCUUGUUCAGCUCGCCAAUUGAAGUCUACGAACAGCCCAGCAAUUUCAUCCCACAAAUUCCUCUUCACGAACGUGCAACUCCACUUCUUUUUGUUGCUGCCAGCAAAGACAGCCAGCUUCCACCGAACAAAAUCUCCUCUGCACUCUCCACCAUCUGUGACUGAAGACCCUUCCUCUUGUGCCAUCGCCCGAAGCUGCUUCUGUCUUCCUGUUCGGGGCCCAGCACGUGCAAGCAGCUCCUUUAGCCCAUCGAACCCACUAGUGCAGCAAGCCCACGAGCCCAACAAGUCAGCCCAUCUCCAGCAAUCCUCAAGCCCAGCAAAUUUAAGUCUAGUUGGGCCCAAAAGUCCAGCAAUUCAACCACUUGAAGCCCAGCCCAGCUUCAGCAAAGACAUGCCCAGUUCAGCUUUGUUUCAAGCCCAUUUCAGCCCAGUCUUGAAGCCCAGAUCAAGUUCAGCCCAAGAAUUCCGGCAGGCCCAAGCCCAGAUAUUUCUGUGGGCUUGCAAAGUUUCUUGGUCCAGCCCGAGUGAUCGUUGACGUCGCCGAAAAUUCGGAUUUUGGCCGUCGCGUCACUAUCGCGGUGUCCCGGUCCCCGCUUGUAUCAAGUGAGUUUUACUCACUAAUGCUUUCUUAGGUUGCUAAUUAUGCUUAGGGGUUGGUUAGAUUUAAUUAAAUGCAAUUAGGUGGUUAGAUUAGUCUAGAACAAUUAAAUUAGUGACUUAACGAUGCAUGUUAGGUGGUUAGACUUAGUCAUUAGCAAGUAGCGAUGUACUUUUAUUUAUUGAACGUAUCUCGGGAUUUUUCCCGAUCCAUUUUGGCGUCCAAUCAGGCAUUAUGAACUUAAAUUGGAUUUUUAGUAUUUAUUUAUUUAUUUUUCGAAAUUAAUUAAUUAAUUUUUUUUUCGGGAAAUUCAACCAGGAUGGUUGGGGAUCGGAAUUUUAUGCUAAUUGUCGUGGUGCAGUCCGUUUAUUUAAUUGAGCUCUAUUUCAUGUUGAAUUGAAUUAUUUGUGAAAGAAGGAAUUAUUCUUUAAUUGAAUAAUCUUUGAUUAUUAAUUAAAAAAGAACUGGGCAUCGGGUGAUAAUGCCAAAAGGAUCUGAGUGGGAUAUAGAAAAUGGUGGGAUUUAUAAAAAGGAAAUUAUUAUAUUUUGGCUAAGGCCGAUCGUGUACCACACACGUUAUUUUAUCGGAAAGGAUAAAACUGGUUAUUUGAUUGUUUGCUUGGAAUGACAUGUAUACCCGCUCGAUGACUCCAUGGAGCAUCUUGAGACAGGACAGUAUGAUCUACCGGCUCGAUGACUCUACGGAGCAUCUGGAGACAGUACGGUAUGAUAAAUUGUGUGUAUACUGACUCGAUGACUCCACGGACCAUCUUGAGAUAGGACGGUAUGAUCUACCGGCUCGAUGUCUCUACGGAGCAUCUGGAGACAGUACGGUAUGAUAAAUUGUGUGUAUAGCGGCUCGAUGACUCCAUGGAGCAUCUUGAGACAGGACGGUAUAAUCUACCGGCUCGAUGACUCUACGGAGCAUCUAGAGACAGUACGGUGUGAUUUGAUAGCUCGAUGACUCUAUAUGUCGUCUGGAGAUAAGAUAACAUACUAUCUAUAUAUCACCUAGGGUGAGUAGUCUUGGAUGUUGAUCAGACUUAUAGAAAGUAUGGAAGGGGUCGAUCAAGAGAUAAUUUGGAUGACUUGUAAUCGACUAGGUCGAUUGAUCGAUGAUUCGAUCUGAUUGGGUGAUGCAAUGUGAUGAGGUAUAUUUGAUAUAUAUACUAACUUGCAGGAAGGAGCUGAGGCCAAGGUAAGUCCUCUAACUCGUGAUGUGCUUAGGCAGCCUAAGGUGUAUUAGUUUACUAAUCGGGUAUUAUGGGGUAGAAUUCGCUGAGACAUGGUCUCAUUGGUUAUUGAAUAACCAUUUUAGGACCUUGAGGAGAAGCUGAAGAGGAGGAACCUGAAGGGGAGAAAGACUUUUAAAGAAGCAGAUGAUCCAGAGAGGGAUCUUGAGUAUAACCCGGAUGUGGAUUGAGAUCCCAUCCCUUUUGUAAACCCUGUCUUAGUGUAGAUAGGUGUGAGACAAGUAUGCUGUAAAUAGUAUCGUAAAUAUACUAUGAGUUGUGUCGUUAAUAAAAGUGUGGUUGUGAAUUUCAAUAUGAAAAAUAUGG
rnacentral:lncRNA from 1 species